ACGGUUCUUUGGUGAUUCAUAGUAACUUUUCGAAUCGCAUGACUUUACGUCGGCGAUGGUUCAUUCAAAUUUCUGCCCUAUCAAGUUUCGAUGGUAGGAUAGAGGCCUACCAUGCUUGUUUACGGGUAACGGCGAAUUAGGGUUCGAUUCCGGAGAGGGAGCCUGAGAAACGGCUACCACAUCUAAGGAAGGCAGCAGGCGCGCAAAUUACCCAAUCCUGAUUCAGGGAGGUAGUGACAAUAAAUAACAAUCCAGGACUUCGGUCUUGGAAUUGGAAUGAGAACAAUUUAAAUCUCUUAUCGAGGAACAAUUGGAGGGCAAGUCUGGUGCCAGCAGCCGCGGUAAUUCCAGCUCCAAUAGCGUAUAUUAAAGUUGUUGCAGUUAAAUAGCUCGUAGUUGAAUCUUGGGGCUGGUUUGGCGGUCGCGUCUUUGACGUGUACUGUCGGCCGGUUCUUUUACUUGUGGGGAACGUAUGUGCCCUUUGCGGGGUGUGUACGGGAACCAUGGCUGUUACUUUGAAAAAAUUAGAGUGUUUAAAGCGGGCGUAAGCUUGUAUACAUUAGCAUGGAAUAAUAGAAUAGGACUUUGGUUUUAUUUUGUUGGUUUCUAGGGCCGAAGUAAUGAUUACUAGGGAUAGUUGGGGGCAUUAGUUAUUUAAUAGUCAGCAGGUGAAAUUCUUGGAUUAUUGAAAGAUAAUUCUGGGAAAGCAUUUGCCAGGGAUGUUUUCCAUUAAUCAAGAAGGAAGGUCAGGGGAUCGAAGAUGAUCAGAUACCGUCGUAGUCUGACGUAAUUAUGCCGACUAGGAUC
rnacentral:rRNA from 1 species